ensembl:lncRNA
GUGAGCCUUUGUUCUGGAAACCCUGAUACCAAGAAGAAAAAAAAAAAGUGUAAUUGGUGGUUCUUGUGUUCAAGUUGUUAGGAAAACAGGCCCCAGACUGGGUGAAAGAUUAGAAGAAAAACACUGGGGCCCAAAGUGACCCGGGGAGAACUUUGUUUGAGAAAAAGGACUUGUGGCAUUUGUAGACAAAAAAGGGAAGGAAUUGAUACUACAGAUACCUGCAGGUUGAAAUUUCUGGAGAAGGAAGAGCUAAGAGCUUGAGAGGACGAGGAGUGGGUACCAAACCAGAAUCCAAAGUCAGACUUCACUGCAUUCAGUAAUACCUUGUCAAGCAACAGUAGCCCGUUAUGCCUUUUCUGAUGCUGGCAUCUGAGAUGUAAAUUGUGGCACAGUGGUGAAGAAUCCACUUGUUAAUGCAGGAGAUACCCUGGGUCAGGAAGAUCCCUGAAGAAGGAAGUGGCAACUCACUCCAGUAUUCUUGCUUGAAAGAUUCCAUGGACAGAAGAGCCUGGCAGGGUCACAGAGCCAUGGACUGGGGUCACAAGAGAGUCAAGACUCGACUGAACAGCAGCAGCAUGGCAGAACCUAACACGAGGAUAAUUAUCCUCCAAUUAAAAGUAAAUAAAAAGGAAAGCCCUCCAAUUGAUUUUGAUUUUGAAGAUUGAGAACCGUUGCCAUAUAUUAACUAUAGUUCUCAACCUUGUUCCCUCAUGGCCACUGUAAUUCCUAACAUAGUGUCCCAAACUUAGUAGAUACUUGAUUAUUUGACUUGAGAGCACAGGUAUACUUUGUCAGGGCCUGCAGCACCUGUAAGACAUCAUCCAUCUGGUGGUGCUAGUGGUAAAGAAUUCACCUUCAAUGCAGAAGACGCAGGAGAUGUGGGUUUGAUCCCUGGGUCAGGA